AUUGAACGCUAGCGGGAUGCCUUACACAUGCAAGUCGAACGGAGUGGCGAACGGGUGAGUAAUGUAUCGGAACGUGCCCAGUAGCGGGGGAUAACUCCGCGAAAGCGUAGCUAAUACCGCAUACUAUUGGAGCGGCCGUUGUCGGAUUAGCGAGUUGGUGGGGUAACGGCUCACUAGGGCGACGAUCCGUAUAAGGUUUGAGAGGACGACCAGCCACACUGGGACUGAGACACGGCCCAGACUCCUACGGGAGGCAGCAGUGGGGAAUUUUGUACAAUGGGGGAAACCCUGAUCCAGCAACCCCGCGUGAGCGAUGAAGGUCUUCGGGUUGUAAAGCACUUUUGGCAGGAAAGCGGUACCUGCAGAAUAAGCACCGGCUAACUACGUGCCAGCAGCCGCGGUAAUUC
rnacentral:rRNA from 1 species